UACGAAGGGUGCAAGCGUUACUCGGAAUUACUGGGCGUAAAGCGUGCGUAGGCGGUUUGUUAAGUCUGUCGUGAAAGCCCCGGGCUCAACCUGGGAAUGGCGAUGGAUACUGGCGAGCUAGAGUACGGUAGGGGCGAGUGGAAUUCCUGGUGUAGCGGUGAAAUGCGCAGAUAUCAGGAGGAACACCAAUGGCGAAGGCAGCUCGCUGGGACGGUACUGACGCUGAGGCGCGAAAGCGUGGGGAGCAAACAGG
rnacentral:rRNA from 1 species